rnacentral:rRNA from 1 species
UACAGAGGGUGCGAGCGUUAAUCGGAAUUACUGGGCGUAAAGCGUGCGUAGACGGUUAUUUAAGUCGGAUGUGAAAGCCCCGGGCUCAACCUGGGAAUUGCAUUCGAGACUGAAUAGCUAGGGUGCGGAAGAGGGAAGCGGAAUUUCCGGUGUAGCGGUGAAAUGCGCAGAUAUCAGGAAGAACACCCGUGGCGAAAGCGGCUCUCUGGAACGGUACUGACGCUGAGACGCGAAAGCGUGGGGAGCGAACAGG